rnacentral:rRNA from 1 species
UACGUAGGUGCGAAGCGUUGUCCGGAAUUAUUGGGCGUAAAGAGCUCGUAGGCGGUCUGUCACGUCGGGCGUGAAAAUCCAGGGCUUAACCCUGGACCUGCGUUCGAUACGGGCAGACUAGAGUUCGGUAGGGGAGACUGGAAUUCCUGGUGUAGCGGUGAAAUGCGCAGAUAUCAGGAGGAACACCUGUGGCGAAAGCGGCUCACUGGACCAUAACUGACGCUGAUGCACGAAAAGCUAGGGGAGCAAACAGG